AUCCAGUUGACGAGUCCCGAACAGAACGAAAUAUGUAUCCUGGAU
rnacentral:hammerhead_ribozyme from 1 species